rnacentral:tRNA from 1 species
UCUAAUAUGGCAGAAUUAAAGUGCAAUAGAUUUAAGACCUAUAAAUAAAGACUGAAUCAAUAUCUUUUAUUAGAA